AUUCAGCUGACGUGUUCCAAAUAGGACGAAACGCACAUCGUGGAU
rfam:Schistosoma margrebowiei strain Zambia genome assembly, scaffold: SMRZ_contig0000681